GUGGGGAAUAUUGGGCAAUGGACGCAAGUCUGACCCAGCAACGCCGCGUGAAGGAAGAAGGCUUUCGGGUUGUAAACUUCUUUUAAGGGGGAAGAGUAGAAGACGGUACCCCUUGAAUAAGCCACGGCUAACUACGUGCCAGCAGCCGCGGUAAUACGUAGGUGGCAAGCGUUGUCCGGAUUUACUGGGUGUAAAGGGCGUGUAGCCGGGUGUGCAAGUCAGAUGUGAAAUCUGGAGGCUCAACCUCCAAACUGCAUUUGAAACUGUGCAUCUUGAGUAUCGGAGAGGUAACCGGAAUUCCUAGUGUAGCGGUGAAAUGCGUAGAUAUUAGGAAGAACACCAGUGGCGAAGGCGGGUUACUGGACGACAACUGACGGUGAGGCGCGAAAGCGUGGGGAGCAAACAGG
rnacentral:rRNA from 1 species